UUUUAACCCAAAUUUGAGGAUGUAGGUCAAGCUGAACCAAAGGCAUUUACAUCACAUUAGGAAUUUGUUGGUCAAGCACCUGCUGUACAUAGAACAACAAUCCAUUACAGCUUUGACUAUGCCGAGCAGGUCUUCUACCAAUACUAGGCACAGCAAGAGUGCCCUGCUUUGAAGUGUUCUGUAAAUCAUAUGGUUCACAGAUAUCUCAGUGAUAAGGGUUUAGCUGUUAUGUGGCCAAUGGUGUGGUACCUCAUUUUCAACAUCAUCCAUAUGGAGAAGACUCUGCAUACCUGCACAUUGACAACUGUGUUGGGUGGAAUAAAAACAAUGCAAUCAUUGGGGUCUGAUGUAUUCUGAAGGGAGAGAAACAGCCUUUACUUAAUGGAAGCAGGUGACAUAAAGUUCAGUCAUGUGUGAGAUUUGGUCUGUGGAAUACCAAAUGGAGGCAGCACACAUCCUUUGUGGAUUGAUGACCUUGCCAAACUGGUUAUAUACUUUGACUGGUUGGAGUACACCAAGUGACCCCUGAAGUCCAUUCCAAACUUGAG